rnacentral:rRNA from 1 species
GAUUAAGCCAUGCAUGUGUAAGUAUAACUAAUUGACUUCGAAACUGCGAAUGGCUCAUUAUAUCAGUUAUAGUUUAUUUGGUGAAGGAUACUAAUUGGAUAACCGUAGUAAUUCUAGGGCUAAUACAUGAGUAAAGUCCCGUUGGGAUGUGUUUAUUAGAAUGAAAACCAUAUGCUUCGGCAUGAUAGUGAGUAAUAGUAACCUAUUGUAUCGCAUGCUUAAAGUAGCGAGAGUCUUUCAAGUUCUGCCCUAUCAGCUUACAUUUCGAUGGUAGCAUAUGGGUCUACCAUG